GGGCCGUUAGCUCAAUUGGCAGAGCAACUGACUCUUAAUCAGUGGGUUGAAGGUUCGAUUCCUUCACGGCCUACCA
rnacentral:tRNA from 1 species